AAUUUUAUUUAUAAAUAUAUAUUUAUUUAUUAUAUAUAGUAUUUUAUUUUUAUAUAGAAAUAUUAUUAUAUAAUAUUUUAUUUAUAAAUUUUUAUUUAUUUAUUAAUAUUUCUAAAUAUAUAACUCUUAUAUAUUAUUAAUAUAUGUUUAUUAUAAUUUUAAAUAUAUUUAAUCUAUAUAUAAAAAUUACAAUAAUAAUAAUAUAUAUAGUAUAUUAAUUAUUAUAUAUUUAUUAUAUAGCCGAAUUUUUUAUUCCCAACUUUUAAUUGGUGAACGUAUAAUAUCCGUAUAAAUCGCGUAUCCAAAUAAUUACCGAAUCUGUUUUUUUGCUGUAUUUUUCAACCAAUUUAAAAUUUAAAAGACGAAUUUUAUCUGAAUUAUAUUCGUACCGGAUGUUUGCCAAAUCCGAAUUAACUAACUAUGGUCGUUGUCGGCCAUGUUGACCACGAACAUGCUUCGUAAGCAUUCUCAAUCAACAAU
rnacentral:lncRNA from 1 species